ensembl:lncRNA
AUGCAAGUAGCUACCGCCCGCUCACGAGACUAUAGCCUAUACUUUCGGUUUUGAUUUUUUUUUAAUGUCGUCGAACACGCAAUGGUUUACAAAGUUUUGACAUCUGAACAUUAGACCCCCGCAGAACUUUCUCCAUGUUUUCAAAUCUUCUGCGGCUGCUGUUCUGCUUUAUCUGUUACAGUGGAACCCCUCGUGCAGGAACUAAACUUGUACAUGUGACAGGAAAAAAGGGAGACAGCGUCAUCCUGCCGUGUGAAUUUAAGGCCACACAGAUUUCUCAUUAUCAUUUAAGCAGUUGGUCAAAAACGAUCUAUGUUUGUCAGAAUGAAGAAUGUGAAAGUGAAAAUGGCCGAGUAUUUAAACAAGGAAACUGUGACGUCGUCAUCAAGGAUCUGAGCUUCAGUGACGCAGGGAAAUAUGUUUUGAGAGUCAAUUACAAUAAUGCUCAGUCAAUGCUGGAGCGACUGACCCUGGAGUACUAUCUUCAUAUUCAGGAUGAGAUUUCUGUGAAAAUGGGUGAGGAGCUGAAGCUUGAUGAUCUGUUGAGCAAUACUAAAAAAGUUGUGCAUCAGAACAAAAUCAGCACAGAGUGGACGGAGGUCUGGAAGAGAAGAGCCGGGGUCAGGAGCGAUCAGUUGACUGUCAGAGAUGGAAACCUGACCAUUAAUGCGUCAACAGUCACUGAUGCAGGGACAUACAGAGUUCUGGACUUUGAUGAUGAAAUCUUGAUCACAGUGACAGUCACAGGAUCCGGUACAGACUCAAAGGGAAACCAAACAGAUGAUGACAAAACUGAUGACACUAAACAAGUUUCUGUACUUGACUGGAUUAUGCGUGUUGGAAUGGGUUUUUCUGUGCUUCUGCUUGGUCUGGUUCUGAUUACAUUCAUCAUCAGGAAUCCCCAACCGGUACACUAUGCAUUUUACGGUUAUAAUAAUUUCAGACAAUAUAUGUUGUUGAAUAAUGUGGUUCAAACGACUGGGAUGUGACCGUGUUCGGGAAGCAGUCGUACUAGUUUGUUUCCACAACAAUGCAUCAUACUGU